UCAGAAUCAUAAUUUAUCUGCUCAGUAACAUCACUCAGAAUCAGGACUACAACCCACAUCAUUUUCUCCCAUAUUUAUGGCUCAGUUUUUAGCUGUCCAGCAGAACAGAGAAUACAUUAGAUAAUAAGAAUACUAGCUUAAAAUAUAUCAGAUACAAGUCUUAAAAUAAGCAGAUAAUUGAUAACAACAUACCAUGAAAAAAGAAAGAAAAUAAUUAAUAUUUGAAGUUGAAACACUGAUCAGUACAAAGUGGCUCAACAAUUCCUGUGAAGCAUUUAUCCAAUUUAACGAAGGUCGAAAUAGACUACCCAUGAUAGAAACCAC
rnacentral:lncRNA from 1 species